rnacentral:rRNA from 1 species
UACGUAGAUGGCAAGCGUUGUCCGGAUUUACUGGGCGUAAAGAGCGCGCAGGCGGUCGUUCAAGUCGCGUGUGAAAGCCCCCGGCUCAACUGGGGAGGGUCACGCGAUACUGAUCGACUCGAAGGCAGGAGAGGGAAGUGGAAUUCCAGGUGUAGCGGUGAAAUGCGUAGAUAUCUGGAGGAACACCGGUGGCGAAGGCGGCAUUCUGGACUGCAACUGACACUGAACGACGAAAGCCAGGGGAGCAAACGGG